UACAGAGGGGGCAAGCGUUGUUCGGAAUUACUGGGCGUAAAGGGCGCGUAGGCGGCCCGCUAAGUCGAACGUGAAAUCCCCGAGCUCAACUCGGGAACUGCGUCCGAUACUGGCGGGCUUGAAUCCGGGAGAGGGAUGCGGAAUUCCAGGUGUAGCGGUGAAAUGCGUAGAUAUCUGGAGGAACACCAAUGGCGAAGGCAGCUCGCUGGGACGUUACUGACGCUGAGACGCGAAAGCGUGGGGAGCAAACAGG
rnacentral:rRNA from 1 species